GGUGAGGAGAGUAGUUAAUAUCUCCAUAUCCAAACAAAGAGAGAUCUUAUUAAGUUUGUUGUUUCUUUCUUUCUUGGAUUGAAUAAUUAAUAUGGCAACUCCACCAGGGCAAGGUAGUAACAAUGUUUACUCCUUCAAGAUCGUCUUGAUCGGUGACGUUGCUGUUGGAAAAACCACUCUUAUUGAAAGUUUCGUUUCCGGUGCCUUCAAGAAUCCUAAUCCCACAAUUGGUUCCUCCAAACAGAUCAAAGAGAUAAAUAUAGGUGGGAAGCAAUUGAAGCUUUCAAUUUGGGACACUGCUGGACAAG
rnacentral:misc_RNA from 1 species